rnacentral:rRNA from 1 species
GACGAACGCUGGCGGCGUGCUUAACACAUGCAAGUCGAACGAUGAGGCUAGGGCUUGCUCUGGUGAAUUAGUGGCGAACGGGUGAGUAACACGUGAGUAACCUGCCCCGAACUCUGGGAUAACUGCUGGAAACGGUAGCUAAUACUGGAUACGACCUACGAAGGCAUCUUCUGUAGGUGGAAAGAAUUUCGGUUCGGGAUGGACUCGCGGCCUAUCAGCUUGUUGGUGAGGUAAUGGCUCACCAAGGCGACGACGGGUAGCCGGCCUGAGAGGGUGACCGGCCACACUGGGACUGAGACACGGCCCAGACUCCUACGGGAGGCAGCAGUGGGGAAUAUUGCACAAUGGGCGCAAGCCUGAUGCAGCAACGCCGCGUGAGGGAUGACGGCCUUCGGGUUGUAAACCUCUUUUAGUAGGGAAGAAGCGAAAGUGACGGUACCUGCAGAAAAAGCACCGGCUAACUACGUGCCAGCCGCCGCGGUAA